GGUUCUGGCGUGAGAUUGAAGUUACAGCCACUUCCAGGAAGGAAGGAGAUAACAAAGAUACAGUGUCCAGCUUCGAUGUAAUAGGAUAAUUUGAAAUUGCAGUCAUCGUUUGCAACUACACUGUCAUAAUGGCCAGAAAGCUUAUCGCGUCGACGGGAUUAUGGUAAUCCAACAGAUUGGAACCACUAAGCCUAUGUUGGCGGAGAAUUUUCCCGGAUGCCUGCCUAUUGCAAACACAUCCCCGUUGAUUGGUCAGGCUACGUAAUUAAAGUUAACUCAAGUUUUUUAACGAAUCUUCAUUACCCUGAAAGAAAUAAUCACUGCCGAGCCGUGGAUGCCAUCGAUAUGGUAUAAAUUGGACAACUGAUAGUCGUAUUGUUUUACGCCGAAACAACAGGAUUUCUCCACUAUCUACAGGAAUUC